AUAAAACCAACAUUUAGCUGAGUGAUCAUAAUUUCAUAUAAUGAAGAAUAUAUGAAUGGAUAUCCACCUAAUAAUAAAACAAUAACUCCAGUUAGUUUGGAAAGAAAUGCCAAAAGGAACUCCAUUUUUGAAGAACAGGUAAAAAAGCUGGGCUGCAUCCACCCAAUCCAGCCAAAUGAAUUAUAUGCUUAACUCGGAUUAUGCAGUUGAUCUACAGACUUAUCUCCCAAGUGAAAAUGCAUCUUGUAAUUUAAUACACUACAAGUUGCUACCAUAGAAGUACAAAUAUGCAGUAGAAAAUAAAAAUCAAAGACAGACAGCUGCCUUAUUUAUAGGGAAAUAAUUCUAGGUGACAGACAAUGGAGUUGAAGCAGAAAUGACAAGGUUCAUAACAAGUAACGCAACUUUCCACGUUGCAAUUCUUCAAAUUUUUGUAUGGAAGUUUGCAUGUUCAAUAGAAUGUAUGCAUGAAUCACAUUAUAGCAAAUUUCCAGGGAUUAGUAUAAUUUCCAUCUGAUCCUUAAAACUGCAGCACUACACAGUUUCUCAUAGAGUACAAAAUCAGAAGAGGGUCAUGAUCUUGUGAUUUUUCAUAACUAACAAUAGCAAUGCAAAAACUCAGAUGAUGCAGCCAACUAAUAAAAAUGAGUUUAAGAAACCAAAGGAAAAGAAUCCAUCACAAAUACACAUACAGG
rnacentral:misc_RNA from 1 species